AUGAUAGCUCCACCCACGCAGUGUGGCAGGUACAAGAUUUCAGAAAAUAAACAUGGUGCUGAAAGGACGAGGCCAGCAAAAAAAGGCUGCAUUAUUGCCUCUCUGAUGUCUUUGGGCAGAGCAAAUUAUAAUGAAACAGUGACUGCACCUACACAAUUGUACUCUUCCUCUAGAACCAGUGACGCUGCCUCCCAAAGGAGCAAGAAUUCCUACCAUGGUUAUACUGUAUGUAUGAAUUAUACUAUAAUAAGUCUAUUAAUCACAUUACUGUACUUUUCCAGAACUGUUUGUAUGUAUUUUUCUGCUAAUUUCAGCAUAUACAGCAUCUGCAUACUGUGCUAUGCCACCAAAACAGAUUCUGAAUGCAGUCACAGCACAUAA
rnacentral:rRNA from 1 species